AGAGUUUGAUCCUGGCUCAGAUUGAACGCUGGCGGCGUGCCUAACACAUGCAAGUCGAGCGGUAACAGGUGUAGCAAUACAUGCUGACGAGCGGCGAACGGGUGAGUAAUGCUUUGGAAUCUUCCCAGUAGUGGGGAAUAACCAGUCGAAAGAUUGGCUAAUACCGCAUACGUCUGUAAAGGGAAAGCGGGGGCUCGUAAGACCUCGCGCUAUUGGAUGAGCCAAAGUCGGAUUAGCUAGUUGGUGGGGUAAUGGCCUACCAAGGCGACAAUCCGUAGCUGGUCUGAGAGGACGACCAGCCACACCGGAACUGAGACACGGUCCGGACUCCUACGGGAGGCAGCAGUGGGGAAUAUUGGACAAUGGGGGAAACCCUGAUCCAGCGACGCCGCGUGUGUGAAGAAGGCCUGCGGGUUGUAAAGCACUUUUAGUGGGGACAAAAAGCUACGGACUAAUACUCUGUGGUCUUGAUUUAACCCAAAGAGAAAGCACCGGCUAACUCUGUGCCAGCAGCCGCGGUAAUACAGAGGGUGCGAGCGUUAAUCGGAAUUACUGGGCGUAAAGCGCGCGUAGACGGUUUUGUAAGUCAGAUGUGAAAUCCCUGGGCUCAACCUGGGAACUGCAUUUGAGACUGCAUGGCUAGAGUAUGGAAGAGGGAAGUGGAAUUUCCGGUGUAGCGGUGAAAUGCGUAGAUAUCGGAAGGAACACCAGUGGCGAAAGCGACUUCCUGGUCCAAUACUGACGUUCAUGUGCGAAAGCGUGGGGAGCAAACAGGAUUAGAUACCCCAGUAGUCC
rnacentral:rRNA from 1 species